GACGUUGAUAGGUUGGGUGUGUAAGCGCUGUGAGGCGUUGAGCUAACCAAUACUAAUUGCCCGUGAGGCUUGACCAUA
rnacentral:rRNA from 3 species